rnacentral:snoRNA from 1 species
AGGCCAUGAUGUGGACACUUGCGUAAUAGUUCCUUGAACCUUUCCCAAGUUUCAUAUAAGGAUUCCCCGUCAUCUUGUGAUAUGUAUUAAUUUAAGUCAUUAAUUU